CUUCAAUCAAUUGUGCGUUUCGGAUUGAGUGACAGAGAUGGAGCUUGGGUCAAAUUCUGAUGAUAGUAAAUCAACCUUUUGUCUGGUGGAUGAGGAUCAUACAUUUGCAAAUUCUAUACGAUACACCUUAAAUCAGGAGUUAGUAUAUUCGAAGAGUGACAUAUUGUGGAUACAGCAUUCCUCAUCCCUCAUUUAAUCAAGUUAAUAUCAGAGUUCAGACAACAGAGGAUUCAGCAAAGGAGGUUUUUAAAGAUGGAUGCAUGGAAUUGAUGCUUGUGUGCCGCCAUGUUAGGAGCUCUUUUGAUCAUGCUGUCACUCA
rnacentral:sRNA from 1 species